CAGCAGCCGCGGUAAUACAGAGGGUGCGAGCGUUAAUCGGAUUUACUGGGCGUAAAGCGUGCGUAGGCGGCUUUUUAAGUCGGAUGUGAAAUCCCUGAGCUUAACUUAGGAAUUGCAUUCGAUACUGGGAAGCUAGAGUAUGGGAGAGGAUGGUAGAAUUCCAGGUGUAGCGGUGAAAUGCGUAGAGAUCUGGAGGAAUACCGAUGGCGAAGGCAGCCAUCUGGCCUAAUACUGACGCUGGGGUGCGAAAGCAUGGGGAGCAAACAGGAUCAGAGACCCCAGUAGUCCCUGUCUCUUAUAC
rnacentral:rRNA from 1 species